rnacentral:lncRNA from 1 species
AAAGGAUGAGGACAGCAAGACAACUGGACCCCAAGCUCACCACCUCAGGGCUCGAGGGGUGCCAGCCCCUGCCACUCUGCCUCACUGCCAGUCAGAGCUGCUGCGGCAUGCUGUGAGCUGGUAGUCAGGUCACUUGUUAUCUCUGGCCUCAGUGUCCUUAUCUGCAAAAGAAGACAGUAAUCUCCGUGCAUUGCUAUGGAAAUGAAGUGAGCAUUACACAGCCUGGAACCUGGUAGGCCCUCCAUGGACUAGCUGGAACUGAGCUCUCUUCUAGCUCUCAAAAGUUGAGCAUAGGAUUCUGAAAUGAGCCAAUACCACCACCAUUACCACCUCCACCACCCCCAAUACAGUCACCACCUCCAUCCUCGCCACCAUCACCACCAAUAACACCACCAAUACGAUCACCACCUCCACCAUCACCUCCCUCACCAUCACAACCUCCAUCACCCCCACCAUCACCAUCGUCACUAUCACCAACACCAUUAUCCCUGCCUUCACCACCACCACCUCCACCACCACCAAUACCGUUGUCACCUCAACUACCUCAUCACCACCACUACCAUUACCACUAUCCCACAACCACCACACACAAAAUAAUGCUUUUUUCAACUUGAGACCCAGAGAGAAGGAAAACAGGGUGAAGAACGGUGCUGUUUCUCUGG